rnacentral:rRNA from 1 species
AUGCAUUGGACCAUCGUGUGGUCCGCGCUCGAUACCGGCAGAAUAUGGCUGCCUGUUCUCCACACGUCCCACGUGCACCAACGACCUCGUGCAGCGCGCGCGAGCCCGGAGCGUCGACGGCUCCAUGCGGCGCCUACGCACGCACAGCACACGGCACACCUCACGGUUCACACGGCAGUUCGUCUCAAUCAAGUGCAGAUCCAAGCUUCCAAUCGAAUUAUCCAAAACGCAAUAGAUCACUAUGGUAGCACACCGGUUCCACAAACAAAUUAUGUUCGCAUCAUCCCACUCGCAUCACGCAGAUCGCUAGUAGUUACCACGCACACGAGCUGGAGCUCGAUCUUCUCAAGCAUCGGGGUGAUGAGUGGGCGCGUUGGUCCCGAUGAACGCCCUGAUCUCCUCCACGAGCCUGCCGGAGUCGGGGAGCUCGGGGAAACAGUAGAAGGCGUGGAUGGCGUCCGGGAACUCGAGUACCUUGACCGCCUUCCCCUUCCGCCGCAGCAUGGCGCCGUACCGCCGCUGCCAGUCCUGCAGCGGGUCCAGCCCGCCGACGGCCACCAUCGCCGGCGGGAACGCCUCCGCCAGCUCGGGCUCCGGGCCCGCCUCGCCCGUCACGUGCGCCGCCGGGUGGUUCCGGUCCGCCCCCUCCGGCAGGAACGCCCUCCACGCCCAGUCGGAGCGCCGCAUGUUCACCACCGGCGCCACGCCCUCCAGCCUCAGCUCCGCCUCCGUGCGCUCCUCGCCGCCGAAGUACGGCUGCAGGAGGACGAUGCCGGCGAGGCGGACGGGGCUGUCGGAGGGAGCCGCGUCCGUCCACCGCUGGGCGACGUGGUGGACGAUGUUGCCCCCCGCGCUGUCCCCGCCGAGGAAGCAGCGGGAGAGGUCGACCGGGACGGAGACGUCCGCGGGGAGGCCGGCGGCGCCGAGGUAGCGGAGCACGUCCACGCAGUCGUCGUAGGCGGCCGGGUGGCGGUGCUCGGGCGCGAGGCGGUAGUUGACGGAGACGACCACGGCGCCCAGCUCGCGGCAGAAGCGGCGGCACAUGCCGUCGAUGGGCGUGGAGGCCGCGGAGAGCAGCGUGAAGCCGCCGCCGUGGAAGUAGACGAGGACGGGGAGUGGGGUCGCCUCCGCUGCGGGGGAGUAGACGCGCGCCCAGAGGUUCCGGGAGGCGUCGACGGUGACGUCGGCGGAGCGGACGCCGUGCGCGUCCGGGCGCGGCCUCGCGGGCGACUGCCGGUCGCCGAAGGAGAAGAGGAAGCGGUUGACGGUCCCGUCGCGGCGCUGCGCGAUGUCGUUGGCGGUGACGAGCGCGAACAGCUGGAGCCUCACCGACCACGGCAGCACCGGCGGCGCGGGCUUGUCGCCGGCGGCCGUUUCUUGGUUCUUCGUCGUGGCCUCCAUGUCUCACUCCUCCGGUGUUAA